CGCGUAUUUUGCACAGGCGGAGCUCGACCGCCCGUUCAAACGAUGAAAGCGUUCGUUGACGAUCAUCGCGCCGUCUAUGGGGUCGAGCCAAUCUGCAAGGUAUUGCCGAUUGCCCCA
rfam:Methylomonas denitrificans strain FJG1, complete genome.